UUCCGACUAGCUCUCUAAUUUUAAUGUGGUGUAAUGUCACGUGUCUCUUUCUUAGAUGCCACGCCAUCAAGUCAAAAUAGGGUGAUUAAUCGACGCUAGAGUUGGGGACCGAAGGAGGAGUGGGCUGCUCAGAGAUGGGGUGGAAAGUAGGGGAUUGACAUGUAACCCAAGAUCUAGCGGGAUAGGGAUAGUCGAAGAUGGAGUGGAGGGUCAGGCUUGAACGGAGGCGAAGGCAAAGUGGGUUGCUCGGAGAUGGGCUAGAGGGUGGGGGAUCGACUGGAAACACAAGAUUUUGUGGGUUAGGGAUGGUCGGAGAUGGAGCGGAAGGUUGGGGUUGAAUGGAGGCGGAGGCGAAAUGUGUUUCUCAGAGAUGGGGUGGAGGAUUUGGGGGUCGACUGGUAGCACAACGAUAUUGUGGGUUAGGGAUGGAUGGUGACAGAGGGAAGGGUUGGGGUUGAAUUGAGAAUCUAGGCACUAGUCUUCGCCUAUAAAUCAUCCUCAUUUUGAUCGAAAACUGGAGAAAACAUUCAGCUAGCAACAAAAUUAAGAUCACUCUAUGGCUUGCUACUUGGGCAUUAAGAUUCUCCAGUAAAGAGCAUUUCUGAGAAGAUCACAAUUUCUUCAAACAAAAUUCCAGAGCUACUUUGAAAACCUAUAUAUAUAUAUAUAUAUUUGUAAAUUUAGUUUGUGUUGAAAGAUUCUGGAGACUUUUAGGAAUUUUGACUAGAUUUUUGUUGGACUUUGAUUGAAUCUGUUAAACAGAUGAAUAAUAAGUUUUGUAUUGUGAUAUAGAUUAUUUUUGUUUGGAUUGAUGAA